rnacentral:lncRNA from 1 species
UCUGAUAAGAUAUAUACUGAACAGAUGAAUGGCAGGAUCAGUAAGCUUUCUUCUUGAUUAUGGUUUCUUCUGCAUUCUCAAUGUUGUAUAUAUCUGCCUGGGAAUUUUGUUUUGUUAAUUUUUAUAGUAUCAUUGUUAGAGAGGUUGUCUUGCCGAAUAUAGUUUUAACUUUUGGAUAUUUUUUCAUACAAGAAUUCCAAAUACAGUAAUGGCCCUUGUUGGGAACAAGGCUCUCAUAUAAGGGGAAACUUUAGAAGUAAAGCGACCAUAAAUUAAAUCAUGUGCAACUUGUUUUCUUCCUUGUUGUUUUAUUGCAUUAGAGAUAUUUAGAAUUUUGACUGUCUAAAAAUGCGGAGCAUAUAUUGUGCAGCUUUAGCUCCCCAUUCUGUUUUUCUCCCGAGGGAAAGGUUUAUGUCUAAAUUGGUGCCAUUUGCUGGCUUUAUUUUGCACGAGUUUGUUCUGGAUGUAGUUUUCUAGGCGUAUUGAUCAUCUCCCAUGCUUUGACCGAACGAGUUUUCCCUAUAUGUCUAAUAAUCGUUUUCACACACUUCUGGUUGAUAGAAUUAAGGGAACCAUCUUUGUAUGUCUAUAGUGAUUUCGGGAGGAUCCACAUGUGGAGAAGUUGGCCGCAAGGAUCAAUACUUGCAAUGACCUUAAAAAUACGUAUGAAGUUUUCAAUUUGGUAGUUUAUACCACAUGACUCAUUCACUUGCAGGCCUGAUGUGGUGUGAUCUUGUUGAUUCAUAUGGCAGACUGUUACAGGAUCAGAGGACUUAGCUGAAGGCAGGCUUGAGACUGCUGAAAAAGUGUUGGUGUGAUUCAGUGAUCCCAGUAAUUUUUCUGAUAUCAGUGUUAUUCGAGGCUCUUAAUUUCAAACACAUUCCAGUAAUUAACUAUUGACUAUAGAAGAUUUUAUUAUUGUCUAGGAUGCCUGGUUGGGUAUAACCGAAUAUAGAAUGAGCUUGUGUAUAAGCCGCUGGUGGCAUAGAGGCUUGACAAAUACGAUUGCAUUUAGUUUCUCUUUACUGUAAUUUUGUUGUGUUGCCUUCAAGAAGCUUAAGAGAUGAUCUUUGUAUUUUGUUGCAAAUAUGGCACUUGUGUGUGUACCAUGGCUUCAUUGCAUAUUGACUUUAA